GUUGGCUCUACCAGAGUUAAGGGGCCAGCUGCUGAAAGGCAUGCUGGGGGAAUAAAAUUAUCUGAGGAAACAGUAGUACCCAUACAGCAGAGAGAGUUGGUAGCUUUCAAGGGGAAGGUGUUGCUGUUGUUUGUGAUAACUCAGUGCUUACGGCCCACAGCUGCAGGAGCAACAGGGACACUGGCAGCUUUCUUCUGGUGGAUUGCUUUGAAGUUCUUGGUCUCUACCCUCUCUUCUUGUUUGGACAUAGGAGCAGGAGGCUGAAGAGCAGGCUCUGGCUUCCCUGUGGACUGAAAUCUAAAUGACUAACGUUUUUGGAUGCCCAACUUGACACCUCGGAGAGACUUAAAUCUUGCGCUCCCAAAAUCACUAGCCAGUCCUGAAAAUUUAGGCUUCUGUGCAGAUACAGGCAAGAGGCCUGGCUUCACCAUUCCCUUUCCAUGAAGGAUCUCUGCCUCUAACAGUUGUUUUUCUGGGAGCCUCAUCCUUUGAGUCAUCUCAGGAAAUUGCAAUGGUCAGAGUAAACGGCUGAACUAGAGGGAAAUUCUUCCUCUGAUCCAUAUAUGCAGAUUAAAUGUACAUUUGCAACAAACCAGUUCAAUGGGCAUUAUGCACAAUAUGAUCUGCAAUGUGGUUCGAUAACUAGUAUUUUACCCUGGGAAAGCAAGUAUAUUAUUGAUUUAAUCAUUUCUUCUUAGGAAUAAAAAACUUUUAAAGCUGUUUGUC